GUGAAACCUUGUUAUCUCAAUAUCUUGGAAAAUGAACAGCAUUUAAACAGUGCUACCCAUAAGGACUCACUCACUACUACUACUGAUUCAUCUAAACAGCCUGACCCUAUGCCAUUACCCUUGACUGCAAGUGAAACCCUAGUGCCUAGAGUCAAAGAAGUUAAAUCUGCUCAGGAGACUCCCGAGAGCUCUCUGGCUGGAAGUCCUGACACUGAAUCUCCAGUGUUAGUCAAUGACUACGAAGCAGAAUCUGGUAACAUAAGUCAAAAGUCUGAUGAAGAAGACUUUGUGAAAGUUGAGGACUUGCCACUCAAACUGACAGUCUGUUCAGAGGUACUGGGCUCUCUCCAACUAGGCUUGCCUUUAUAGCAGCUAUAAAGACGAACGAUUAUAGUUUCCAUUUUUGUUCUAAA
rnacentral:lncRNA from 1 species